ACAUGCCAUGCUACAUCAACAAUUAUGCUCAAUUGAAACAAUUUGUAAAGGAGUAAAGGGUUCAAUAGGUACAUGACUUAAUUGAGGUGCCUAUACGGAAAAAGUGAAAUAGUUAAGGGGUCUGUAUAUGUAUUCUUCCAAAAAAAAAUCAUAGUCUCCUCUUCUCCGUUGAUAUCUUUCCUAUUCUUCUUUUUCUUUUUUCUUUUUCAUUUUGUC
rnacentral:lncRNA from 1 species